CAGUCGCCACGGUAAUACGAAGGGGGCUAGCGUUGUUCGGAAUUACUGGGCGUAAAGCGCACGUAGGCGGACUUUUAAGUCAGGGGUGAAAUCCCGGGGCUCAACCUCGGAACUGCCUUUGAUACUGGAAGUCUUGAGUGUGGAAGAGGUAAGUGGAAUUGCGAGUGAAGAGGUGAAAUUCGUAGAUAUUCGCAGGAACACCAGUGUCGAAGGCGGCUUACUGGUCCACAACUGACGCUGAGGUGCGAAAGCGUGGGGAGCAAACAGGAUUAGAUACCCCCGUAGUCCCUGUCUCUUAUAA
rnacentral:rRNA from 1 species